AUGCUCUUUGUAAUUUUAGAGCCUAUUCCCCCAAGCAUCAGUCUCUUCUACUCUGAAACUUCCGAACUAAAAGCAAAGGGGUUUGUGCAGCUGCUCUGCCUGAUCAGCGACUACAAACCAGGACACAUUGGGGUGACCUGGAAGAAAAACGGAAACACCAUACGGUCUGGCUUUACCACUACAUCCCCAGCUAAAACAUCGAAAGGAGACUUCAGCUCCACGAGCCUCCUGAAAGUGCCUCUUCAGGAAUGGAGCAGCGGUUCCGUGUACAGCUGCCAAGUGACCCAUUCCGCGACCAACAGUAACAAGCAGAAAGAAAUUACAUCCACGUCAGAGAUCACAGUACUUCUCAGAGAUCCCUCAGUUGAAGAUAUUUGGGUCAAUAAAACUGCCAUCCUAGUGUGUGAAGUGGUGUCCACAUCUCCCAAUGAGGUUGUGAUCUCCUGGAGGGUGAAUGGAAAGGUGAGGGCUGCAGGUGUGAAAAGCGAAAACGGUACCCAAGAUGGUAACGAGUACCUGACCUUCAGCCGCUUGACAAGCAGCGUGGAAGAGUGGGAGAGCGGGGCUGAAUACUCAUGUUCAGCACAGGACAAUCUAUCAUCGACUCCGGUAUCAAAAAGCACACGAAAGAGAAAAGGAAUGGAGCCAGUGAAGCCAAAUCUUCGGCUUUUGCCUCCAUCACCAGAAGAAAUUCAAAGUACCAAAGCAGCAACCCUCACUUGUUUGAUACGAGGAUUCUACCCGGACAAAAUAACCAUUUCGUGGGAGAAGGACGGAGCUGCUUUGAGAUCGAACAUCACCAGUUUCCCCACGGCCCUUGAACAGGACCGGACCUUCAGCACAAGGAGCCUCCUCACUUUAACUGAAACGGAAUGGAAGAGCGGAGCGAGAUACACCUGUGCCGCCUCACACCCACCUACGCAAUCCACCGAAAGUAAGACCAUCAGCAACACGAAAGCUGAUUGCCCUGAGUCAGACAUUUCUGUCAGUAUAUUGAACCCUCCGUUUGAAGAGAUAUGGGUUCAAAAGACAGCGACCAUUGCUUGUGAAAUCCUUUACAGUGAUUUAGAAAACGUCAGCGUGUCCUGGCAAGUGGAUGGGAGAAUGAGAACGGAAGGAGUUGAGACCCAGAAUCCAGUGUGGAGUGGUAGCAAUUUGGCCAUCGUGAGCAAACUGACGGUCACUGCGGCAGAGUGGGACAGUGGGGUGGAAUACGUCUGUCUUGUGGAAGGAAGUGAAUUACCAACACCAAAGAGACGCUCAACAAGGAAAUUAAAGGUUGGCACAAUGAUUAGUCCCAAAGUCUACAUUCUGUCUCCGUCAGAGGAUGAGAUCGACACUGAGAAUACGGCAACGCUGGUGUGUCUCGCCACCGGUUUUUAUCCUGCUGAGAUUUACAUCGCUUGGAUGGCCAAUGACACCCUUCUGGAUUCAGGUCAUCCGAGCCAACUGGAGAGUGAGAAGGGAAAUGGUUCCAGUUUCUUAGCCGGCAGAUUGAGACUCACCGCAGCCGAGUGGAACACUGGCACAACUUACUCCUGUUUAGUGGGUCACCCGUCCCUCGAAAGGAAUUUAAUCCGAAGUAUUAAUAAAUCCCACGAACUCCCUCAAAUAAUGGAAGGUAUGGACGACCAAUUAGUGGAGGAAGAUGGAUUAGAAAACUUCGAUGAGGACGCAGGCACUGCAUCAACAGUAGUCGCUUUCAUCGCUUUGUUCAUUCUAAGUAUGAUAUACAGCUCAUACGUGACAGUCCUUAAGGUGAAAUAGCAGCUGCUUGACCAGUGGUCACUUCAACUUGUUAUUCAAAGCUUGUUGACGAAGAUCCUUUGGGGCCGGAUUGUGUGAGUCUAUCAGCGUUAGCAGCUGCUCCAUUACACCACUGCACCUUGUGGUUGCACAAUAGUCUCAGCCAAUCCGUGGCAACUCUGCUUAAUUUGCUUCUAUUAGCUCAUAAAUUAACACUUUCUUUCUUAAGCAGCAGCGCUAAAUAGAAUUGUGCAUCAUUACAACGACCCUGUAUGUUCAGCAAAUCCCACAGAAUCAAUUAAAAUAAAUUGAGAAGAAAACAUUGAAUGCCGCUAUGUGUUAGUACUACUUUUGAAAUAGUAUGUUUGUUUCCUGUCUCAAUCAUUUGUUGAAUAUUUCAUGACAAUUUGAAUUGGAAAAUUAACAAGAAAAACGCCCUUACCACGUCCGUGAGCUCGCAGACAACCCACCAGGCUUGUCGAACCUGCCCUUGUCCUAGGAUGAGUUAAGGCUCGCCGGCUGUUACAGAAGAUCAAAGCAUUCCCUAUAGGAAAUGAAAACACAUAUGUGAAUAAUCCCAAAACUACAUCGUUGAAA